rnacentral:rRNA from 1 species
GCCUUGGCACUAAGAGCCGAUGAAGGA